rnacentral:tRNA from 1 species
GCCCCAUUGGCCCAAUGGUUAAGGCGUGACCUUCCUAAGGUCGAGAUUCUCGGUUCGAGUCCGGGGUGGGGCU